rnacentral:rRNA from 1 species
CGUUGUUCGGAAUUACUGGGCGUAAAGGGCUCGUAGGUGGCCAACUAAGUCAGACGUGAAAUCCCUCAGCUUAACUGGGGAACUGCGUCUGAUACUGGAUGGCUUGAGUUUGGGAGAGGGAUGCGGAAUUCCAGGUGUAGCGGUGAAAUGCGUAGAUAUCUGGAGGAACACCGGUGGCGAAGGCGGCAUCCUGGACCAAUACUGACACUGAGGAGCGAAAGCCAGGGGAGCAAACGGG